UACGAAGGGGGCUAGCGUUGCUCGGAAUCACUGGGCUUAAAGGGCGCGUAGGCGGGCUGUCAAGUCUGGGGUGAAAUCCCGCGGCUCAACCGUGGAACUGCCUCAGAUACUGACGGCCUCGAGGAAGGUAGGGGCAUGCGGAACUGUAGGUGGAGCGGUGAAAUGCGUUGAUAUCUACAGGAACUCCGGUGGCGAAAGCGGCGUGCUGGACCUUUUCUGACGCUGAGGCGCGAAAGCUAGGGGAGCAAACGGG
rnacentral:rRNA from 1 species